CGACUCUGUAGCCUGGGGAAUUGGCCUCGGGGCAUCCACGAUCCGGCCGGAACCGGGUGAGACCAGGGGAA
rnacentral:ncRNA from 1 species